rnacentral:rRNA from 1 species
GACGAACGCUGGCGGCGUGCUUAACACAUGCAAGUCGAACGGUGAAGCCUUCGGGUGGAUCAGUGGCGAACGGGUGAGUAACACGUGAGCAAUCUGCCCUUGACUCUGGGAUAACUUCGGGAAACCGGAGCUAAUACCGGAUAUGACAUCUGGCCGCAUGGUCUGGGUGUGGAAAGAUUUAUCGGUCAAGGAUGAGCUCGCGGCCUAUCAGCUUGUUGGGGGGUAAUGGCCCACCAAGGCGACGACGGGUAGCCGGCCUGAGAGGGCGACCGGCCACACUGGGACUGAGACACGGCCCAGACUCCUACGGGAGGCAGCAGUGGGGAAUAUUGCGCAAUGGGCGGAAGCCUGACGCAGCGACGCCGCGUGAGGGAUGAAGGCCUCGGUCGUAACC